UCCCCUGUGGUCUAAUUGGCAGUGACGCCGGGUUUUGGUCCCGGAAGUUCGAGUUCGAGUCUCGCCGGGGGAGC
rnacentral:tRNA from 2 species